rnacentral:rRNA from 1 species
GCGGUGAGCAUUGUGGUUUAAUUCGAAGCAACGCGAAGAACCUUUACCAGGUCUUGACAUCCCGAUGCUUAUUUCUAGAGAUAGAAAGUUACUUCGGUACAUCGGUGACAGGUGGUGCAUGGUUGUCGUCAGCUCGUGUCGUGAGAUGUUGGGUUAAGUCCCGCAACGAGCGCAGCCCCUAUUGUUAGUUGCCAUCAUUCAGUUGGGCACUCUAGCGAGACUGCCGGUAAUAACCGGAGGAAGUGGGAUGACGUCAAUCAUCAUGCCCCUUAUGACCUGGGCUACACACGUGCUACAAUGGUUGGUACAACGAGUUGCGAGUCGGUGACGGCGAGCUAAUCUCUUAAAGCCAAUCUCAGUUCGGAUUGUAGGCUGCAACUCGCCUACAUGAAGUCGGAAUCGCUAGUAAUCGCGGAUCAGCACGCCGCGGUGAAUACGUUCCCGGGCCUU